rnacentral:rRNA from 1 species
UACGUAGGGGGCAAGCGUUAUCCGGAUUUACUGGGUGUAAAGGGAGCGUAGACGGCAUGGCAAGCCAGAUGUGAAAUACCGGGGCUCAACCCCGGGACUGCAUUUGGAACUGUUAAGCUGGAGUGUCGGAGAGGCAGGCGGAAUUCCUAGUGUAGCGGUGAAAUGCGUAGAUAUUAGGAGGAACACCAGUGGCGAAGGCGGCUUACUGGACUGUAACUGACGUUGAGGCUCGAAAGCGUGGGGAGCAAGCAGG